CCGAGUUAGGGUCUUAUAGGCCCGACCUCCAACCCUUUGUUUAUUAUACCAUGUUGCUUUGGUAGGCCCGCCUUUCGAGGCCGCCGGGGGCUUACAUGCUCUUGGUCAGUGCCUGCCAGUAGCCUUAUUAAAUUCUUUCAUAAUUAUGUUGUCUGAAUAUAAAUAUAAAUCGUUA
rnacentral:misc_RNA from 1 species